UCCGUAGGUGAACCUGCGGAAGGAUCAUUACCACACCUAAAAAACUUUCCACGUGAACCGUAUCAACCCAAUAAUUUGGGGGUUUAAUUGGCGGCUGCUGCUGGUAUCUUUUUACUGGCUGGCGGCUGCUGAGCGAACCCUAUCGUGAGCGUUCUGACCUUGGUUGGAGCUAGUAACUUAAAUUUUAAACCCAUUCUUAAAUACUGAAUAUACUGUAGGGACGAAAGUCUCUGCUUUUAACUAGAUAGCAACUUUCAGCAGUGGAUGUCUAGGCUCGCACAUCGAUGAAGAACGCUGCGAACUGCGAUACGUAAUGCGAAUUGCAGGAUUCAGUGAGUCAUCGAAAUUUUGAACGCAUAUUGCACUUCCGGGUUAUCCCUGGAAGUAUGCCUGUAUCAGUGUC
rnacentral:rRNA from 1 species